ensembl:lncRNA novel transcript, antisense to LRRFIP2
GGAGUAUUCUGUUAAUGGUAGAAUAUAAGUGGUGGAUGCAGAAGUGAUUGCUGUAAAAUUCUUUCAACUUUGCUGUGUGUUUGAAAUUUUUCCUAAUAAAAUAAUAGUUUAAACUGGUUAUUGUGAAUAGACUUUAGGGGAGCAAAGGUGAGAGCAGGAAGACCAGUUAGGCUAUAACAAUAAUUCAGGUAGCAGUGGAAGUGGUAGGAAGUGGUUGGGAGCAGAUGUGGUGUUUGAAUUACAAGUCAGUAAUUCAGAGGAAAUACCAGGUAGGAAAUACAAAUGUAUGAAUCCACCUAAAGAUUAGGAAAACAAGGACAAAUGUCUUGAGAAUUAAAAGAAAAUGCUCAGAAGUGUACCCUAAAGCCUCUUACUCAUGCUUUUGUUCUAGGCUGGUUUUGGUUGUAGAUAGUUAUCAGUUAUUAUAUACUGCCAUUCAGAUUAUUUAUAUGUAUUACUGUCCACAACUCACUUGUGUUCUAAAGGGUUUUUUUUAAUAAUGUUCUUGUCUUCCCAAGCAGAUUACAUGCUUUUUGAGAAAAGAUCUAUUUUUUUGUAUACACCCCGCAAUGCCAUAUUCCUAGAAGGCAUUUUCAAUGUUCACAGAAUAAAAAUAUUUGAAUACAGA